rnacentral:rRNA from 1 species
AGCAGCCGCGGUAAUUCCAGCUCCAAUAGCGUAUAUUAAAGUUGUUGCAGUUAAAAAGCUCGUAGUUGAAUUUCGGAAUCAGUAUGUUGGUCGUGCUUCGGUACGUACUGUCAUUACUGGUUUCUACCUUCUGAAGAACCUUGAUGUCAUUAAUUUGGUGUCUUGGGGAAUCAGGACUGUUACUUUGAAAAAAUUAGAGUGUUUAAAGCAAGCAUACGCUUGAAUACAUUAGCAUGGAAUAAUGAAAUAGGACGUUUGAUUCUAUUUUGUUGGUUUCUAGGAUCGACGUAAUGAUUAAUAGGGAUAGUUGGGGGCAUUAGUAUUCAAUUGUCAGAGGUGAAAUUCUUGGAUUUAUUGAAGACUAACUACUGCGAAAGCAUUUGCCAAGGAUGGUUUCAUUAAUCAAGAACGAAAGUUAGGGGAUCGAAGACGAUCAGAUACCGUCGUAGUCUUAACCAUAAACUAUGCCGACUAGGGAUCGGAUGAUGUUAUUUUUAAUGACUCAUUCGGCGCCU